rnacentral:tRNA from 1 species
AGCAUAUUAAUAGUCUAUGUUACGGCCAUAGAAUUGAUGGUUACCUAUCAUAUGCUU